UUCAGAAGAGCAUAACAGAUCUCGAUCUGGACAUAGAAGUUUACAUAGUGAAGGAGAGGAACAAAAUAUAUCUGCAAUAAGUACAGACAACGAUAGAGAAAAUUCUUCAAAUAUACAGAUAAUAUCACCUGAACACUCUGAGAUUAAUAUUAUUGCUGAUUCAGUAAGCCAACUUGACAGAUUUCAAUCUAUACAGACAAAUAUACAUAGUCAAGGAGAGGAACACAAUGUAUCUGCAAUAAGUGCAGACGAUGAAUUAAUAUAUGAGGUGCCGGAGGAUGAUUAUUUCUACUUAAACGAAAGAAGUACAGAAGAUGGUCCGUU